CACGUAGGGUGCGAGCGUUGUCCGGAAUUAUUGGGCGUAAAGAGCUCGUAGGCGGUGUGUCGCGUCGGCCGUGAAAACCUGCAGCUUAACUGUGGGCUUGCGGUCGAUACGGGCAUCACUGGAGUUCGGCAGGGGAGACUGGAAUUCCUGGUGUAGCGGUGAAAUGCGCAGAUAUCGGGAGGAACACCGGUGGCGAAGGCGGUUCUCUGGGCCUGACCUGACGCUGAGGAGCGAAAGCGUGGGUAGCAAACGGG
rnacentral:rRNA from 1 species